GUCGAGCGCGCCUUUCGGGGUGAGCGGCGGACGGGUUAGUAACGCGUGGGAAUAUACCCUUUGGUACGGAAUAGCCUCUGGAAACGGAGAGUAAUACCGUAUGAGCCCUUCGGGGGAAAGAUUUAUCGCCAAAGGAUUAGCCCGCGUUAGAUUAGGUAGUUGGUGGGGUAAUGGCCUACCAAGCCUACGAUCUAUAGCUGGUUUUAGAGGAUGAUCAGCAACACUGGGACUGAGACACGGCCCAGACUCCUACGGGAGGCAGCAGUGGGGAAUCUUGGACAAUGGGCGCAAGCCUGAUCCAGCCAUGCCGCGUGAGUGAUGAAGGCCUUAGGGUCGUAAAGCUCUUUCGCCUGUGAAGAUAAUGACGGUAGCAGGUAAAGAAACCCCGGCUAACUCCGUGCCAGCAGCCGCGGUAAUACGGAGGGGGUUAGCGUUGUUCGGAAUUACUGGGCGUAAAGCGCACGUAGGCGGACUGGAAAGUUGGGGGUGAAAUCCCAGGGCUCAACCCUGGAACUGCCUCCAAAACUAUCAGUCUAGAGUUCGAGAGAGGUGAGUGGAAUUCCGAGUGUAGAGGUGAAAUUCGUAGAUAUUCGGAGGAACACCAGUGGCGAAGGCGGCUCACUGGCUCGAUACUGACGCUGAGGUGCGAAAGUGUGGGGAGCAAACAGGAUUAGAUACCCUGGUAGUCCACACCGUAAACGAUGAAUGCCAGUCGUCGGGUAGCAUGCUAUUCGGUGACACACCUAACGGAUUAAGCAUUCCGCCUGGGGAGUACG
rnacentral:rRNA from 1 species